rnacentral:rRNA from 1 species
AACGCUGGCCGGCGUGCCUAACACAUGCAAGUCGAGCGAGAAGCCUAUGUGAUGAAACUUCGGUAGAUUCUUUUAGGUGGAAAGCGGCGGACGGGUGAGUAACGCGUAGGCAACCUGCCCUUAGCAGGGGGAUAGCCAUUGGAAACGAUGAUUAAAACCCCAUAAUACGGAUGCAUCACAUGUUGUGUCCGUCAAAGAUUUAUCGGCUAAGGAUGGGCCUGCGUCUGAUUAGCUAGUUGGUGAGGUAACGGCUCACCAAGGCAACGAUCAGUAGCCGACCUGAGAGGGUGAUCGGCCACAUUGGAACUGAGACACGGUCCAAACUCCUACGGGAGGCAGCAGUGGGGAAUAUUGCACAAUGGGCGAAAGCCUGAUGCAGCAACGCCGCGUGAAGGAUGAAGGCUUUCGAGUCGUAAACUUCUGUCCUUGGGGAAGAAAAAAAUGACGGUACCCAUGGAGGAAGCCCCGGCUAACUACGUGCCAGCAGCCGCGGUAAUACGUAGGGGGCGAGCGUUAUCCGGAAUUAUUGGGCGUAAAGAGUGCGUAGGUGGUUCUUUAAGCGAGAGGUUUAAGGCUAUGGCUUAACCAUAGUUCGCCUCCCGAACUGAAGGACUUGAGUGCAGGAGGGGAAAGCGGAAUUCCUAGUGUAGCGGUGAAAUGCGUAGAUAUUAGAGACACCAGUGCGAGCGCUUCUGACUGAACUGACACUGAGGCACGAAAGCGUGGGGAGCAGACAGGAUAGAUACCUGGUAGUCACCGCGUAACAUGACACUAGUGUCGGGGAAACUCGUGCCC